rnacentral:rRNA from 1 species
GUGGGGAAUAUUGGACAAUGGGGGGAACCCUGAUCCAGCCAUGCCGCGUGUGUGAAGAAGGCCUUUUGGUUGUAAAGCACUUUAAGUGGGGAGGAGGCUUACCUGGUUAAUACCUGGGCUAAGUGGACGUUACCCACAGAAUAAGCACCGGCUAACUCUGUGCCAGCAGCCGCGGUAAUACAGAGGGUGCGAGCGUUAAUCGGAUUUACUGGGCGUAAAGCGCGCGUAGGUGGUUAAUUAAGUCAAAUGUGAAAUCCCCGAGCUUAACUUGGGAAUUGCAUUCGAUACUGGUGAGCUAGAGUAUGGGAGAGGAUGGUAGAAUUCCAGGUGUAGCGGUGAAAUGCGUAGAGAUCUGGAGGAAUACCGAUGGCGAAGGCAGCCAUCUGGCCUAAUACUGACACUGAGGUGCGAGAGCAUGGGGAGCAAACAGGAUUAGAAACCCCGGUAGUCC